rnacentral:rRNA from 1 species
AGUUAAAAAGCUCGUAAUUGGAUUUCGGAACCGGCCGAUUGGUCCGUCCUCUGGAUCGUGUACUGAUCGGUCUGUUCUUCUUCGCGAAGACCGCGUGUGCUCUUAACUGAGUGGGCGUGGGAUUCGCGUCGUUUACUUUGAAAAAAUUAGAGUGUUCAAAGCAGGCAGUCGCUUGAAUAUCUCAGCAUGGAAUAAUAGAAUAGGACUUUGGUCUUAUUUUGUUGGUUUCCGAGACCGAAGUAAUGAUUAAUAGGGACAGUUGGGGGCAUUCGUAUUUCAUUGUCAGAGGUGAAAUUCUUGGAUUUAUGAAAGACGAACUUCUGCGAAAGCAUUUGCCAAGGAUGUUUUCAUUAAUCAAGAACGAAAGUUGGAGGCUCGAAGACGAUCAGAUACCGUCCUAGUUCCAACCAUAAACGAUGCCGUCUGCGGAUCGGAGGUCGCUCAUGUAAGGCUCCUUCGGCACGCUAUGAGAAAUCAAAGACUUCGGGUUCCGGGGGGAGUAUGUUCGCAAGAAUGAAACUUAAAGGAAUUGACGGAAGGGCACCACCAGGAGUGGAACCUGCGGUUUAAUUUGACUCAACACGGGAAAACUCACCAGGUCCAGACAUAGGAAGGAUUGACAGAUUGAGAGCUCUUUC